rnacentral:rRNA from 1 species
AAUUAAUAUAUUUAAUUUUUGUAUUUGUAUUUGAGAUUAAUGUUAUAAUUUUUAAAAGUUUAAAAAAAAAGAAUGUUAAAUUAAUUAUUUUGAAUUCAUUUUUAUUUUUAUAAUUAAAGGUAAUGUAAAUGAAAAUUUAAAAUAUAAAAAAGUAGAAUUUUUUUUGUACCUUUUGUAUCAGGGUUGAUUAAAAUUUAUUUAAUAAAUUUAAAUAUCUCGAAAAUAAGUGAGCUAAAUUUAUAAAAUUUUUUUUGUUACAUUAAAAUUAUAAAUAUAAAUUUAGAGAUUAAAUGUCAUUCGAAUUUAUUGAUAUCUAGUUUUUUUAGAAAUAAAUUUAAUUUAGAUAUAAAAUUUUUAAUACAUUAAAAUUUAUUUAUAGUAUUAAUUUUUAUAUUAAAAAUUUAUGGGAUAAACUAUAAAUUUAUUAAUAAAAAUUUUUAAAUUUUAUUAUAGUAUUAUGAAAAUAAUAUUUUUUAUUAAUAUAAAAAAUUUAAUAAUUUAGUUAUUAAUUUUUAAAAAUUUAAGUUUUAAGUUUUAUUUAUUCUAUAAAAGUAUAUAUUUUAAUUUAAGAAAUAUAGAAAUAAUGAUUGAAUUAGUAAUAAAAGUGUAUUUAUUAAUAUAUAAAUUAUUUGUAUAUAUAUAAUUUAAAGGAACUCGGCAAAUUGAUUAUUCACCUGUUUAACAAAAACAUGGCCUAUUGAAUUUAAUUUUAGGUCGAUCUGCUCCAUGAAAUAAAUUUAAAUAGCUGCAGUAUAUUGACUGUACAAAGGUAGCAUAAUAAAUUGUCUUUUAAUUGAAGAAUUGAAUGAAUGAAUUGAUGAAAUAAAAACUGUCUCUAUAUUAUUAAAUGAAUUUAAAUUUUUAGUAAAAAUUCUGAAAUUUAAUUAUGGGACGAUAAGACCCUAUAGAAUUUUAUUUAAUAUAAUUAUUUAUUUAAAUUAUUUUUGAAUAUAUAAUUAAUUUAAAUUUGAUUGGGAGGAUUGGUAAAUAAAAAUAACUUUAUCUAAAAAUUAAUUUUGAUGAAAAGAUUUUUUUUUUUGACUUAUAAUUUAUGAUUAAAAGAAUAAAUUACCUUAGGGAUAACAGCGUAAUAUCUUUUGAUAGACCACAUUGAUAAAGAUGUUUGCGACCUCGAUGUUGAAUUAAGAGAAAAGUUAAACGCAGGAGUUUAAAAUUUUAAGUCUGUUCGACUUUUAAAAUCUUACAUGAUUUGAGUUCAAAUCGACGUAAGUCAGAUUGGUUUCUAUCUAUAAUAAAAUUAAAAUUAUUUGUACGAAAGGACUUUAAUUUUUAAAUUAUUUAUUUAAAUAAUUAAUAAAUAUAAAUUUG